GGCGUAAAGGGCUCGCAGGCGGUUUCUUAAGUCUGAUGUGAAAGCCCCCGGCUCAACCGGGGAGGGUCAUUGGAAACUGGGGAACUUGAGUGCAGAAGAGGAGAGUGGAAUUCCACGUGUAGCGGUGAAAUGCGUAGAGAUGUGGAGGAACACCAGUGGCGAAGGCGACUCUCUGGUCUGUAACUGACGCUGAGGAGCGAAAGCGUGGGGAGCGAACAGGAUUAGAUACCCUGGUAGUCCACGCCGUAAACGAUGAGUGCUAAGUGUUAGGGGGUUUCCGCCCCUUAGUGCUGCAGCUAACGCAUUAAGCACUCCGCCUGGGGAGUACGGUCGCAAGACUGAAACUCAAAGGAAUUGACGGGGGCCCGCACAAGCGGUGGAGCAUGUGGUUUAAUUCGAAGCAACGCGAAGAACCUUACCAGGUCUUGACAUCCUCUGACAAUCCUAGAGAUAGGACGUCCCCUUCGGGGGCAGAGUGACAGGUGGUGCAUGGUUGUCGUCAGCUCGUGUCGUGAGAUGUUGGGUUAAGUCCCGCAACGAGCGCAACCCUUGAUCUUAGUUGCCAGCAUUCAGUUGGGCACUCUAAGGUGACUGCCGGUGACAAACCGGAGGAAGGUGGGGAUGACGUCAAAUCAUCAUGCCCCUUAUGACCUGGGCUACACACGUGCUACAAUGGACAGAACAAAGGGCAGCGAAACCGCGAGGUUAAGCCAAUCCCACAAAUCUGUUCUCAGUUCGGAUCGCAGUCUGCUACUCGACUGCGUGAAGCUGGAAUCGCUAG
rnacentral:rRNA from 1 species